rnacentral:rRNA from 1 species
GAUGAACGCUGGCGGCGUGCUUAACACAUGCAAGUCGAACGAGAAAUGGAGACGGACACCUUCGGGCGGAAGGCUUCAUUUCGAGUGGCGGACGGGUGAGUAACGCGUGGGUAACCUGCCUCAGACAGGGGGAUAACAGUUGGAAACGACUGUUAAUACCGCAUAAGACGACAGCACCGCAUGGUGCGGGGGUAAAAACUCUGGUGGUAUGAGAUGGACCCGCGUUUGAUUUGCCAGGUGGCGGGGUAACGGCCCACCAAAGCGACGAUCGAUAGCCGAGCUGAGAGGAUGACCGGCCACAUUGGGACUGAGACGCGGCCCAAACUCCUACGGGAGGCAGCAGUGGGGAAUAUUGCACAAUGGGGGAAGCCCUGAUGCAGCGACGCCGCGUGAGUGAAGAAGUACUUCGGUAUGUAAAGCUCUAUCAGCAGGGAAGAAAAUGACGGUACCUGAGUAAGAAGCCCCGGCUAACUACGUG